UCCUAACCCCCCUAAAUUGGCAGAGCCUAUUUAAGACACCUGUGGCAUGAAGGCUGCCUUUCUCCUUGUCUGUGCCUGGUGGCUGCCAAAUGGUCAUGUCUCUGAGUUUACUGCCUGUUUUGCACGGAUGGCCUGGUCGUCUUGGUGUCCAUUGAAAUUGAUUUGAGUGGUGAAUUGUUCCAAACUGAUUGGAGGACAUCAGGGUAAUUGUAGUACCUGCUCAGACACAAUCAGCUGCUGUUUUGUUUUAGAUGAGUGUUUU